rnacentral:rRNA from 1 species
GUAGGGAGCAAGCGUUGUUCGGAAUUAUUGGGCGUAAAGAGCGCGUAGGCGGCCAGGUAAGUCUGAUGUGAAAUCCCACAGCUCAACUGUGGAACUGCAUUGGAAACUGCUUGGCUAGAGUGCGGGAGAGGAGAGUGGAAUUCCCAGUGUAGAGGUGAAAUUCGUAGAUAUUGGGAGGAACACCAGUGGCGAAGGCGGCUCUCUGGACCGCAACUGACGCUGAGGCGCGAAAGCUAGGGGAGCGAACGGGAUUAGAUACCCCGGUAGUCCUAGCCGUAAACGAUGGGCACUAGGUGUGGGAGGUAUCGACCCCUUCUGUGCCGUAGCUAACGCAUUAAGUGCCCCCGCCUGGGAGUACGGUCGCAAGACUA